CAGUAGCCGCGGGAAUACGUAGGUGGCAAGCGUUAUCCGGAAUUAUUGGGCGUAAAGCGCGCGUAGGCGGUUUCUUAAGUCUGAUGUGAAAGCCCACGGCUCAACCGUGGAGGGUCAUUGGAAACUGGGAAACUUGAGUGCAGAAGAGGAAAGUGGAAUUCCAUGUGUAGCGGUGAAAUGCGCAGAGAUAUGGAGGAACACCAGUGGCGAAGGCGACUUUCUGGUCUGUAACUGACGCUGAUGUGCGAAAGCGUGGGGAUCAAACAGGAUUAGAUACCCCCGUAGUCCCUGUCUCUUAUAU
rnacentral:rRNA from 1 species